rnacentral:misc_RNA from 1 species
UCCAGUUUGUCACUGGCAGUAUCCUUAAAGUUCCCGGCUUAACCCGCUGGCAAAUAAGGAAAAGGGUUGCGCUCGUUGCGGGACUUAACCCAACAUCUCACGACACGAGCUGACGACAGCCAUGCAGCACCUGUAUGUAAGUUCCCGAAGGCACCAAUCCAUCUCUGGAAAGUUCUUACUAUGUCAAGACCAGGUAAGGUUCUUCGCGUUGCAUCGAAUUAAACCACAUGCUCCACCGCUUGUGCGGGCCCCCGUCAAUUCAUUUGAGUUUUAGUCUUGCGACCGUACUCCCCAGGCGGUCUACUUAUCGCGUUAGCUGCGCCACUAAAGCCUCAAAGGCCCCAACGGCUAGUAGACAUCGUUUACGGCAUGGACUAC